UACGGAGGGAGCUAGCGUUAUUCGGAAUUACUGGGCGUAAAGCGCACGUAGGCGGCUUUGUAAGUAAGAGGUGAAAGCCCAGAGCUCAACUCUGGAAUUGCCUUUUAGACUGCAUCGCUUGAAUCAUGGAAAGGUCAGUGGAAUUCCGAGUGUAGAGGUGAAAUUCGUAGAUAUUCGGAAGAACACCAGUGGCGAAGGCGGCUGACUGGACAUGUAUUGACGCUGAGGUGCGAAAGCGUGGGGAGCAAACAGG
rnacentral:rRNA from 1 species